AACAUGGCCCAUUUUAUCUCAGAUUGAGACACACGUCUAUAUAAAGGGCUGAGGUAACUGCGGAGGUUAGUUGUUCAUUCAGUCAUAGCUGUAGAGAUCAUAUUGCACAUUCAGAAGGAUAUUGAGGCCAGAGGAAUGGGAAUAAAGAUGCUUUUGCUGUUCUGUGUAUUGUCAUUCACUGGCCAAGGGCAAGGGAUUCCUGAAACUGAUGUACAACGUUCAGGUGUCAGUGAAGCUACAGUGGAGGACCCAGGGAGAGUUGGAGACCAGAUCAACCCCCCCAGACACCAUGACAGACUGUGUGACUGUAAGGGGAGGAGGAGAGAGGGUUUGAGUGGAGGCUGCCUCUGCCAGGAGUCUGCCAAAUCCUACCGCAAGCCCAGGAAGGCCUUUGUGGAAAUGUGCCUAAGGAAAGGAUUCCAGAAUCAGUGGAAAUGCCAGAAGAUCAUGGAAAGAGUAGAGAGGUCAAAGGGUGACCAAGGCAAAAACUUCAUGAGUAUUCCAAUUUAAAGAGUUGAUCUUUAAUAACUUCUGUAUUAACCUUGUAACCAUGUUUUGUAAUCUCAUGUUGCUCGCUCAAGAACCAUGACUGUUUUUGUUUAUAAAAAAAUAUGAUAUAAUUAUA